rnacentral:SRP_RNA from 1 species
GCUGGGUGUGGUGGCUCAUGCCUGUAAUCCCAGCUACUCAGGAGGCUGAGGCAGGAGAAUUGCUUGAACCCAGGAGGCGGAGGUUGCAGUGAGCCGAGAUCGUGCCACUGCACUCCAGCCUGGGUGACAGAGCAAGACUCUGUCUCAA